rnacentral:rRNA from 1 species
UUGACGGGGCCCGCACAAGCGGUGGAGUAUGUGGUUUAAUUCGAUGCAACGCGAAGAACCUUACCUGGUCUUGACAUCCCGGAGACCCUUAGGAAACUAGGGGGUGCUUCCAUCUGGAAGAAUCUGGAGACAGGUGCUGCAUGGCUGUCGUCAGCUCGUGUCGUGAGAUGUUGGGUUAAGUCCCGCAACGAGCGCAACCCUUGCCUUUAGUUGCCAGCAGUUCGGCUGGGCACUCUAAAGGGACUGCCGGUGUUAAACCGGAGGAAGGUGGGGAUGACGUCAAGUCCUCAUGGCCUUUAUGACCAGGGCUACACACGUACUACAAUGGCCGAUACAAAGGGCAGCGACACUGCGAGGUGAAGCCAAUCCCGUAAAAUCGGUCUCAGUCCGGAUUGGAGUCUGCAACUCGACUCCAUGAAGUUGGAAUCGCUAGUAGUCGUGGAUCAGCAUGCCACGGUGAAUACGUUCCCGGGCCUU